ACUUUAUACCUCGCAAGGCACCAGAGCUGGAUUCUAGAGCAAAGGGCAGCAGCGCUCAUUCUAGAGGUUAUAUCAUAGAUGGUGUAACAUUACCUUCUGCCCACUGGGAUCUUAUCAACCCUCUGUUCCUGGUCUAUUUUGAGACCCAUCUGAGCCUGCUACCUGGGACAUGGGUAGUGUUAACAAAUCAACGUCCUGCUGACAAGAGGUGAACGGAGUCUCAUCUGGAAAGAACAGGGCAAGAGAUCAGUAGGCAGUUGGAUUUAUGCUUCAGAGCAUUGCUUCUUUGCAUGAAACUUAGAGGUGCCUUGUUAAACACUUAGAGCAUCUCUUUUAAGGUACGGUUGGUUCAGUCAGAAUGGCUAAGAUCAAAAGUUCAGGUGACAGCAGAUGCUGGAGAGAAUGUGGAGAAAGAGCAACACUCCUCCAUUGUUGGCGGGAUUGCAAGCUGGUACAACCACUCUGGAAAUCAGUCUGGUGGUUCCUCAGAAAAUUGGACAUAAUACUACCGGAGGAUCCCGCAAUACCUCUUCUGGGCAUAUAUCCAGAAGAUGCCCCAACUGGUAAGAAGCACACAUGCUCCACUAUGUUCAUAGCAGCCUUGUUUAUAAUAGCCAGAAGCUGGAAAGAACCCAGA
rnacentral:lncRNA from 1 species